AACUUUCAGCAAUGGAUGUCUCGGCUCCCACAACGAUGAAGAACGCAGCGAAAUGCGAUACGUAAUACGAAUUGCAAAACCUCGUGAAUCAUCAAAAUUUUGAACGCACAUUGCGCUCCCAGAAACUGUCUGGGAGCAUACUUAUCUGAGUGU
rnacentral:rRNA from 1 species